rnacentral:misc_RNA from 1 species
GGUUGGAACAUAGAAUGCGAAAUGCAUUUGAAACGAGCAAUGUUUUCCACAGAAUAUAAGAAAAACACAAUAAAAAUAGAAACACAGAAAGAGACCUGCCAACCCCUCUGCAUAUUACGCAUGCGUAAGCUCCGCCUCUGAAGAACCUUCUCCAUGACAGAGCCAUCUAAGAAUGAAUCUGGAUUUUCAUCCAUAUUAGCAUCUGUGACUAUAUCAGAG